UACGGGGGGAGCAAGCGUUGUUCGGAUUUACUGGGCGUAAAGGGCGCGUAGGCGGUCGUGACAAGUCACUUGUGAAAUCUCCGGGCUUAACUCGGAACGGUCAAGUGAUACUGUCGGACUAGAGUACAGAAGGGGCAACUGGAAUUCUCGGUGUAGCGGUGAAAUGCGUAGAUAUCAGGAGGAACACCGGUGGCGAAGGCGGGAUCCUGGGCCAGUACUGACGCUGAGGAGCGAAAGCGUGGGGAGCAAACAGG
rnacentral:rRNA from 1 species